GACUCAGAGAGACACUGUAACGAAGAGUCUUUGUUUCUCCGGCAGGCGCCUAACAGGCGGAGGCCCCGCCCUGGGGCCGCCUGCCGAAGCAACUGAACAGGUAUAAUUCACAAAGGUUUGGAGUUUUACAACUCUUUUAAUGAUCCCUCCGCUGGUUCACCAACGGAGACCUUGUUACGACUUUUACUUCCUCUAAAUGACCAAGA
rnacentral:misc_RNA from 1 species